GAUGAACGCUAGCGGCGUGCCUAAUGCAUGCAAGUCGAACGGGAUCCUUUGGACUCGUCUGAAGGUGAGAGUGGCGAACGGGUGAGUAACACGUUGGUGACCUACCCCAGAGAGGGGGAUAACCAUUGGAAACGAUGGCUAAUACCCCGGAUGUCAUUAUUGUUAGAGAGUAAUGACUAAAAGCUCCGGCGCUCUGGGAGGGGCCUGCGGCCCAUCAGCUUGUUGGUAGGGUAACGGCCUACCAAGGCAAAGACGGGUAGGGGACGUGAGAGCGUGACCCCCCACACUGGUACUGACACACGGACCAGAUACCUACGGGUAGCAGCAGCAAGGAAUAUUGCCCAAUGGACGCAAGUCUGAGGCAGCAACGCCGCGUGGAGGAUGAAGGCCUUCGGGUUGUAAACUCCUUUUCUGGGGGAAGAGAAAGGACGGUACCCCAGGAAUAAGUCUCGGCUAACUACGUG
rnacentral:rRNA from 1 species